AGACGGGCCCCAUAUGCAUCUGGAAGAGGGCUGCAACCUCAGGGCUUCCAUAAAAGCAUGGAAUGGAGAUGGGGCUCAGAAGAUUAUCUAACACCCGAAAUUUGUACUUGGAGAUUGGCUUCACGCAGCAGGGAUGAAUGGGGACACUAAGGAAGACUGCAGAGCAGCAGUGGCUGCAGUUUCUAAGCUGCCAUUUGGGGCAAAGUGGCAAAGGAGAAAAUUUUUGCAAUGCUGUGGUUGAGAGUGAAUAUUUAGAACUCAAGGCUGAGGGCGACCUUGGUGGUUGUGUGUGGUUUCUGCACCGUGGGGACAGAUGCCUCAUUUAUGGAUGCAGACUUUGUCCAGCUGGGAAAGGUCUCCCAGGACAGGGAAGUUGAGGAAAUGCUGCAGUCUCCGUUCCUCAUUGGUGAUUUCAAAGUCUACAACCCUGCUCAAUGCUCUGAGAAGUCCUGCAGGAAAGGAACCUGCUUUAGGGUUUUUGACCCUGUGUUUCCCAGAGUUAUUUUGACCUCAGAAUUCUUUUUCCCUCUUCAUAACCCUCAUUUAUACUCUGUGAAAGCCACAUUUCCAACAACCCGCUUGGAAAAUGCUAUCCCAAUGUCCAGAGGAACUGGUUCUCACCCUUAAUGCCUCACGGUGAGCAGUGAUGGGGAUAUUCUGGCAGGACACAUGAUGUGGAAUCCUGCUGUGAUAAUCCAGGAAAUAAAAUUGUGUAUUGUGCCUGUUGGACCCCUUCCC